UACGAACUGUGCGAACGUUAUUCGGAAUCACUGGGCUUAAAGGGUGCGUAGGCGGUUUGUUAAGUCAGGUGUGAAAUCCCCCGGCUCAACCGGGGAACAGCGCUUGAAACUAGCAGACUUGAGUGAGGUAAGGGUGUGUGGAACUUCCAGUGGAGCGGUGAAAUGUGUAGAUAUUGGAAGGAACGCCGGUGGCGAAAGCGACACACUGGGCCUUGUCUGACGCUGAGGCACGAAAGCUAGGGGAGUGAACGGG
rnacentral:rRNA from 1 species